UACGGAGGGGGCAAGCGUUGUUCGGAAUUAUUGGGCGUAAAGCGCGUGUAGGCGGCUUUGCAAGUCGGAUGUGAAAGCCCACGGCUCAACCGUGGAAGUGCAUCCGAAACUGCAUGGCUGGAGUCUCGGAGAGGAAGGUGGAAUGCUUGGUGUAGAGGUGAAAUUCGUAGAUAUCAAGCAGAACACCUGCGGCGAAGGCGGCCUUCUGGACGAUGACUGACGCUGAGACGCGAAAGCGUGGGGAGCAAACAGG
rnacentral:rRNA from 1 species